rnacentral:rRNA from 1 species
GAUGAACGCUGGCGGCGUGCCUAAUACAUGCAAGUCGAGCGAACAGACGAGGAGCUUGCUCCUCUGACGUUAGCGGCGGACGGGUGAGUAACACGUGUAUAACCUACCUAUAAGACUGGGAUAACUUCGGGAAACCGGAGCUAAUACCGGAUAAUAUAUUGAACCGCAUGGUUCAAUAGUGAAAUACGGUUUUGCUGUCACUUAUAGAUGGAUCCGCGCCGCAUUAGCUAGUUGGUAAGGUAACGGAUUACCAAGGCAACGAUGCGUAGCCGACCUGAGAGGGUGAUCGGCCACACUGGAACUGAGACACGGUCCAGACUCCUACGGGAGGCAGCAGUAGGGAAUCUUCCGCAAUGGGCGAAAGCUUGACGGAGCAACGCCGCGUGAGUGAUGAAGGUCUUCGGAUCGUAAAACUCUGUUAUUAGGGAAGAACAAAUGUGUAAGUAACUAUGCACGUCUUGACGGUACCUAAUCAGAAAGCCACGGCUAACUACGUG